UACAGAGACUGCAAGCGUUAUUCGGAUUCACUGGGCGUAAAGGGUGCGCAGGUGGUUGUGUGUGUCAGAUGUGAAAUCCCGGAGCUUAACUCCGGAACUGCGUCUGAAACUGCACGACUAGAGCAUUGGAGAGGGUAGUGGAAUUCACGGUGUAGCAGUGAAAUGCGUAGAUAUGACAUAGAACACCAAUUGCGUAGGCAGCUUACUACACGAUCAUUGACGCUGAGGCACGAAAGCGUGGGGAUCAAACAGG
rnacentral:rRNA from 1 species